rnacentral:rRNA from 1 species
UGAACCUGCGGAAGGAUCAUUAUUGAAUUAAUGUAGAGUUUGGUUGUAGCUGGCUCCUAAUUAAACUUGGGGGCAUGUGCACACCUUUCUCUUUCAUCCCAUACACACCUGUGCACCUGUGAGACAGAUGUUUUGUGGGGGGGAAGGAACUUUAUUGGACCUUCUACUCCCCCUUGACUUCUGUCUACUUAAUUCAUAUAAACUCAAUUUAUUUUAAAACGGAUGUAAUGGAUGUAACACAUCUAAUACUAAGUUUCAACAACGGAUCUCUUGGCUCUCGCAUCGAUGAAGAACGCAGCGAAAUGCGAUAAGUAAUGUGAAUUGCAGAAUUCAGUGAAUCAUCGAAUCUUUGAACGCACCUUGCGCUCCUUGGUAUUCCUUGGAGCAUGCCUGUUUGAGUAUCAUGAAAUCUUCAAAGUCAAACCUUUUGUUAAUUCAAUUGGUUCUGCUUUGGUAUUGGAGGAUUAUUGCAGCUUCACACCUGCUCCUCUUUGUGCAUUAGCUGGAUCUCAGUGUUAUGCUUGGUUCCACUCAGCGUGAUAAGUUAUCUAUCGCUGAGGACACCCUGUUAAAAAGGGGUGGCCAAGGUAAAUGCAGAUGAACCGCUUCUAAUAGUCCAUUGACUUGGACAAUAUCUAAUUUAUGAUCUGAUCUCAAAUCAGGUAGGACUACCCGCUGAACUUA